rnacentral:rRNA from 1 species
GACGAACGCUGGCGGCAUGCCUAACACAUGCAAGUCGAUCGGUAAGGCUCUUCGGAGUACACGAGAGGCGGACGGCUGAGUAACGCGUAGGAACACACCCUGCAGCGAGGGAUAAGACACCGAAAGGUGUUCUAAUACCGCAUACGGUCUUCGGAUUAAAGCAUUUAUGCGCUGAAGGAGGGGCGUGCGUCGUAUUAGAUAGUUGGUGAGGUAAUGGCUCACCAAGUCGAUGAUGUGUAGCUGGUCUGAGAGGAUGAUAAGCCAGACUGGAACUGAGACACGGUCCAGACUCCUACGGGAGGCAGCAGUGAAGAAUAUUACACAAUGAGCGAAGGCUUGAUGGAGCAAUGCCGCGUGCAGGAUGAAGGCCCUCGGGUUGUAAACUGCUUUUAUAAGAGAAGAUUAUGACGGUAACUUAUGAAUAAGGGACGGCUAACUACGUG